AUUGAACGCUGGCGGAAUGCUUUACACAUGCAAGUCGAACGGUAGAGGGGGCAACCCCUCGAGAGUGGCGAACGGGUGAGUAAUAUAUCGGAACGUGCCCAGUCGUGGGGGAUAACGUAGCGAAAGUUACGCUAAUACCGCAUACGAUCUACGGAUGAAAGCGGGGGAUCGCAAGACCUCGCGCGAUUGGGGCGGCCGAUAUCAGAUUAGGUAGUUGGUGGGGUAAGGCCCACCAAGCCAACGAUCUGUAGCUGGUCUGAGAGGACGACCAGCCACACUGGAACUGAGACACGGUCCAGACUCCUACGGGAGGCAGCAGUGGGGAAUUUUGGACAAUGGGCGAAAGCCUGAUCCAGCCAUUCCGCGUGCAGGAUGAAGGCCCUCGGGUUGUAAACUGCUUUUGUACAGAACGAAAAGGUUUCUACUAAUACUAGGAGCUCAUGACGGUACUGUAAGAAUAAGCACCGGCUAACUACGUGCCAGCCGCCGCGGUAA
rnacentral:rRNA from 1 species